rnacentral:rRNA from 1 species
AACGAACGCUGGCGGCAUGCCUAACACAUGCAAGUCGAACGAUACCUCCGGGUCUAGUGGCGCCCGGGUGCGUAAGGCGUGGGAACCUGCCCUUAAGUUUGGAAUAACUCUCCGAAAGGGGUGCUAAUCCGGGACAAUGUCUUCGGACGAAAGAUUUCUCGCCUUUGGAUGGGCCCGCGUUGUAUUAGCUGGUUGUUAGGGUAAAAGCCUACCAAGGCGACGAUCCAUAGCUGGGCGGCGAGGACGAUCAGCCACCCUGGGACUGGGACACGGCCCAAAGUGCGACGGAAGGCAGCAAUGGUGAACAUUGGACGAUGGGCGAAAGCCUGAGCCAGCAGUGCCGCAUAACUGAUGAAGGCCUGAAGAUCGUAUAGCUCUGUUACCCGGGAUGAUAAGACGAUAACCGAGAAAAAAGGCUCGGCCAACCACGGG